UACGGAGGGUGCAAGCGUUGUCCGGAAUUAUUGGGCGUAAAGAGCUCGUAGGCGGUUUGUCGCGUCUGCUGUGAAAACCGGAGGCUCAACCUCAGACCUGCAGUGGGUACGGGCAGACUAGAGUGCGGUAGUGGAGAUUGGAAUUCCUGGUGUAGCGGUGGAAUGCGCAGAUAUCAGGAGGAACACCGAUGGCGAAGGCAGAUCUCUGGGCCGUAACUGACGCUGAGGAGCGAAAGCAUGGGGAGCGAACAGG
rnacentral:rRNA from 1 species